rnacentral:rRNA from 1 species
AUUGAACGCUGGCGGCAGGCCUAACACAUGCAAGUCGAGCGAGCGGCGGACGGGUGAGUAAUGUAUGGGGACUGCCCGAUAUAGGGGGAUAAAUACUGGAAACGGUAGCUAAUACCGCAUACUAUCGGAUAACCCAUAUGGGAUUAGCUAGUAGGUGAGGUAAUGGCUCACCUAGGCGACGAUCCCUAGCUGGUCUGAGAGGAUGAUCAGCCACACUGGGAUGGAGACACGGCCCAGACUCCUACGGAGGCAGCAGUGGGGAAAAUGGCACAAUGGGCGCAAGCCGGAUGCAGCCAUGCCGCGUGUAUGAAGAAGGCCCUAGGGUUGUAAAGUAUUUUCAGUCGGGAGGCGUUACCGACAGAAGAAGCACCGGCUAACUCCGUGCCAGCAGCCGCGGUAAUUC